CCGCGUGUGUGAUGAAGUCCGUUCGGGAUAGUAAAGCACUGUCCGGAGGGGUGAAUAAAUGACAGUACCCUCGAAGAAAGCCCCGGCUAACUACGUGC
rnacentral:rRNA from 1 species